CGAAUACCGAGAAGGCAGAAAAUAGAAAAGAAUUCCUUCUAAUUCUUCAUAAUUCACCGGUGUCCUGCAGUUUCAGAAAGUUAAGCAUAAAAUACCAAGGGUAUGCUAUACCCUAAUUUCAUGUUCUACAAUUUAUUUAAAUACUCUCGGCAAAUUCUUUUAAGGAUAAAUGAAUUCGCAAAUGGAAAUUGUACGAGUAGCCUUAUCUUUUGCAGAGGUAUCAAUAUCUGUUCUUGAUACUAAUAUCUGUUCUGAAUGCUUCGUAGAUUUCCAUGCGUGAACAACUUCAGUUGUUAUUCUAAUUUCUUACUGUUACUCUUACCACCAAUGUGGAAUAUGAAUUCAACAUAUUCCGAAUUCCUUGAAGUACUCGUUAAUGUUAUUAUGCAUGAUUGUUUCUUUUAAUUUUAUGAAUAAAAAGUACCAAAGCAACCCGCGGCAACCAUCGAGGUUCAGAACAUGAAAUGAUUUGCAUCUUGAUUUGGUUUAACCAAGAAACUUAUGGGACAAUUUUGUGGGGAAACUUCUAUGGAAGAAAGUAGGGAGGACAGUGAAAUCAUGUUUGUUCAUGAUCUAGCAGCGAAGUUGAGUACCGGAAAAGGCAUACAGACUCUUUUCCAGUUUUCUGGUCUACCAGUAGCUAAGCCUGAUAUGGUAACAUCCUCCUCCGGUAUUCGAGUUUUAUCAAACCAUUACAGCUUAGGCGACUGGUCUUAUCAGGUAAGCAAAGA